UGGCUCAGUUGGUAGAGCAUGGUGUUUGCAACCAGGGUUGUGGGUUCAAUUCCCAU
rnacentral:tRNA from 1 species